rnacentral:rRNA from 1 species
AUUGGGCGUAAAGCGCGCGCAGGUGGUUUCUUAAGUCUGAUGUGAAAGCCCACCGCUCAACCGUGGAGGGUCAUUGGAAACUGGGAGACUUGAGUCCAGAAGAGGAAAGUGGAAUUCCAUGUGUAGCGGUGAAAUGCGUAGAGAUAUGGAGGAACACCAGUGGCGAAGGCGCCUUUCUGGUCUGUAACUGACACUGAGGCGCGAAAGCGUGGGGAGCAAACAGGAUUAUAUACCCUGGUAGUCCACGCCGUAAACGAUGAGUGCUAAGUGUUAGAGGGUUUCCGCCCUUUAGUGCUGAAGUUAACGCAUUAAGCACUCCGCCUGGGGAGUACGGCCGCAAGGCUGAAACUCACAGGAAUUGACGGGGGCCCGCACAACCGGUGGAGCAUG